rnacentral:rRNA from 1 species
UGGAGGGCAAGUCUGGUGCCAGCAGCCGCGGUAAUUCCAGCUCCAAUAGCGUAUAUUAAAGUUGUUGCAGUUAAAAAGCUCGUAGUUGAACCUUGGGUCUGGCUGGCCGGUCCGCCUCACCGCGAGUACUGGUCCGGCUGGACCUUUCCUUCUGGGGAACCUCAUGGCCUUCACUGGCUGUGGGGGGAACCAGGACUUUUACUGUGAAAAAAUUAGAGUGUUCAAAGCAGGCCUUUGCUCGAAUACAUUAGCAUGGAAUAAUAGAAUAGGACGUGUGGUUCUAUUUUGUUGGUUUCUAGGACCGCCGUAAUGAUUAAUAGGGAUAGUCGGGGGCGUCAGUAUUCAGCUGUCAGAGGUGAAAUUCUUGGAUUUGCUGAAGACUAACUACUGCGAAAGCAUUCGCCAAGGAUGUUUUCAUUAAUCAGGGAACGAAAGUUAGGGGAUCGAAGACGAUCAGAUACCGUCGUAGUCUUAACCAUAAACUAUGCCGACUAGGGAUCGGACGGGAUUCUAUGAUGACCCGUUCGGCGCCUUACGGAAAC